rnacentral:rRNA from 1 species
UACGUAGGGGGGCAAGCGUUUGUCCGGAUUUAUUGGGCGUAAAGAGCGUGUAGGCGGCUAGAUAGGUCCUUGUGAAAACUCGAGGCUCAACCUCGAGACGUCGAUGGAAACCAUCUGGCUAGAGUCCGGUAGGGGCCACGGAAUUCCUGGUGUAGCGGUGAAAUGCGCAGAUAUCAGGAGGAACACCGGUGGCGAAGGCGGUGGUCUGGGCCGGCAUGACGCUGAGGAGCGAAAGCGUGGGUAGCAAACGG